AUGAGUCAACCUGAUGGCAUCAAUAUCCCUAAUGGCAAGUUCUACCUAGGAGAUGCUGGAUAUGCAUGACGACCUGAGGUUCUUCCAUCCUUCAGGAAAACUAGGUACCAUCUAAACGAGUUCUCUUCCAGGAACUAUCAUAGCACUCCACAUUAAUUGUUUAAUCACAGACACUUCGGUCUUAGAGUUAUGGUUGAGAGGACAUUUGGAGCUCUGAAUAAUUGGUUUAAGAUCCUGGAUCAAAAGCCAUUCCACCCUUACCCUACCUAGUUUAAGCUUGUUCUUGCAUGUUGCAUCCUUCAUAACUAGAUCCUACAAUUGGGUUGUGAUGAACUUGUGCCAGAGGAUGAAUAUGUGACGCCUGAUGAUGUUUGAGGCUCUGGCCAUGGUGUGGACGCAUUUGUCAACGAAGCCUGGAAGAAUAAAAGGAUGGAGUGGGCCCAGGCAAUGUGGGGUAACAAAGGCUAG
rnacentral:rRNA from 1 species